GAUGAACGCUGGCGGCGUGCCUAAUACAUGCAAGUCGAACGGGGAGUAGCAAUACUCUUAGUGGCGAACGGGUGAGUAACGCGUUGGUACCUGCCCCGAAGCGGGGGAUAACGGACCGAAAGGUCCGCUAAUACCCCAUGUGCUCGGUAACGAGUAAAGGUGAAAACCACUUUGGGAGGGGCCUGCGUCCCAUCAGCUAGUUGGUAAGGUAACGGCUUACCAAGGCGAUGACGGGUAGGGGACCUGAGAGGGUGGCCCCCCACAAUGGAACUGAAACACGGUCCAGACACCUACGGGUGGCAGCAGUAGGGAAUAUUGGUAAUGGGCGCAAGCCUGAACCAGCAACGCCGCGUGUGCGAUGACGGCCUUCGGGUUGUAAAGCACUUUUGACUGGGACGAGGAAGGACGGUACCGGUCGAAUCAGCCUCGGCUAACUACGUG
rnacentral:rRNA from 1 species